AAUUUUGGACAAUGGGGGCAACCCUGAUCCAGCCAUCCCGCGUGUGCGAUGAAGGCCUUCGGGUUGUAAAGCACUUUUGGCAGGUAAGAAAAGGCGCCGGAUACUACCUGGCGCCGCUGACGGUACCUUCAGCAUAAGUACGGGCUAACUCCGUGCCACGAGCCGCGGUAAUACGUAGGGUGCAAGCGUUAAUCGGAAUUACGGGGCGUAAAGCGUGCGCAGGCGGUUCGGAAAGAAAGAUGUGAAAUCACAGGGCUUAACCUUGGAACUGCAUUUUUAACUGCCGGGCUAGAGUAUGUCAGAGGGGGGUAGAAUUCCACGUGUAGCAGUGAAAUGCGUAGAGAUGUGGAGGAAUACCGAUGGCGAAGGCAGCCCCCUGGGAUAAUACUGACGCUCAUGCACGAAAGCGUGGGGAGCAAACA
rnacentral:rRNA from 1 species